rnacentral:rRNA from 1 species
GGAGUUUGAUCCUGGCUCAGAACGAACGCUGGCGGCGUGCCUAACACAUGCAAGUCGAACGUGAUCCAGAGCUUGCUCUGGUGAAAGUGGCGCACGGGUGAGUAACGCGUGGAUAACCUACCCUGGUAUCCGGGAUAACAUUCCGAAAGGGGUGCUAAUACCGGAUAAGCCCACGGGCUCUUUGGAGCUUGCGGGAAAAGGUGGCCUCUAUUUAUAAGCUACUGUAUCAGGAUGGGUCCGCGUACCAUUAGCUAGUUGGCGGUGUAACGGACCACCAAGGCGACGAUGGUUAGCUGGUCUGAGAGGAUGAUCAGCCACACUGGAACUGAGACACGGUCCAGACUCCUACGGGAGGCAGCAGUGGGGAAUUUUGCGCAAUGGGGGAAACCCUGACGCAGCAACGCCGCGUGAGUGAUGAAGGCCUUUGGGUCGUAAAGCUCUGUCAGAGGGGAAGAAAUGAUAUAGUGCUAAUACCACUUUAUCUUGACGGUACCCUCAAAGGAAGCACCGGCUAACUCCGUGCCAGCAGCCGCGGUAAUAC